rnacentral:tRNA from 1 species
GCCCAGGUGGCGGAAUUGGUAGACGCGCUACUUUGAGGGGGUAGUGCCCGCAAGGGUGUGCAAGUUCGAGUCUUGUCCUGGGCA